rnacentral:lncRNA from 1 species
GGCUGUGGUAGCGGAAGGCCACCUCGACCUCUUGUAAAUAAUUUUUUACUUUUUAUAGCUUAUACUAAUCUUCAACCACAUUAAUAUUAUUAUUUUUUUGGAUUUUUUUGUUUGUUUGAGCUAUUCACGGAGUAACAUCAUAAUAUUUUUGUCUAUUAUGAUAAUAUUACUGUCACUCGCAGAAAUAUUAAUUCUUUUAGUUUUUUAUUAUGUUUACAUUUGUUAAACGGUCAACAUAGUAAUAUUACUCUAUUACACAAUAAUAAUGAGUUUUGUUGCGUUAAUAUUACUGUGCUGGAGAUUAAUAAAGCAAUAUUACUGUGUUAAACUGUAGUUUAGUUAUUUUUAUUGUGUUUAGCAAUAAUAUAGUUAAUAUUACUGUCAAUCACAUCAAUAUUGUUGUUUAAACGAAAAUAAAUGUUACAGAAAGAAGAAUGAAGAAAAAAAAAUCGAAAAAGUCAAUGCCGGAACUGGCAAUUUUUUUUUUUUUUUGAAAAGUCAACGCCAGAGACUGCUUGUCAACGCCGGAAUCCGGUGGCAAAAAAAAAAUUGAUUUAAAAAAAAAAAAAAAAAAGUUUUGGGUCAAAAUUGAAUAAUUUGUGAAAAUUUGGGGUCAAAUUGAGGUUAAAUUAAGUUAAGGAUGAAAUUGGAGCAUAUUAAAGUAUGAGGGGCUAUUUUAGUCUUUUACAAAAAUUUGGACCAUGUGUGGAAUUAUUGGUAAAGGAGUUUUUUGUCUUGAUCUCUUUAUGAAUAAGUACACAUUGAUGGGUUUAUUUAUAAUGACUCCAUAAUUUAUUAUUUUUUUGGGUGAUUAUUGACCGUUGAUCUGCGCACACAAUCACGCACACACCCAUGUGUAUGUGUGCUUACUGGAAAGUUAUUUCACCGCAUCAACAAUUAAUAAUUACCUGGUGUAUUUCACCGGGUGUAGCAUCUCAAUAACCGGUGGGUGGCGAGGAUAUGGUGCAUGUGGUUAUGUAUGCGGCUAUGGUGGGUGGCGGCAGCUACGGUGGCCGUGAAUAUGGUGGGGGUGGUUAUGAAGGUGUCUAUAGUGGGUGACUGCGGCUAUAGUGGGAGUGAUUACGGAGGUGGUUAGGGCGGUGGUGGUGGUUACAGUAGGAGGUGGUUAUGGCAAUGGGGAGAUGCAAUGACUAUGGCGGCGAUGGUUGCAUAUCUAGUAUUCUAAUUUGGAUUACUGUGAGUGUUUGCAGAUGAAUGGCGGCUAGAGUUUUAUAAUUGUGUUACUACGAAUGACUACGGGGAAUACAUAUUUCUACGGGUGUCUAUAUACAUGAUUAUGGUCGAAAAAAAUUAAAAUAUAUAUAUAUAUAUAUAUAUAUAUAUGCUCUUCAAGAUAGUGCAAGAAAAUACUAAAACGAAAUAAAAUAGAAAAGAGUAACGUGUUCAACGUAAAAACUUUUUUUAACAAAAUGUCGGACGAAAAAUUAAAGAUAUUAAAUGCUAAAUAAAAUAUAAUAAAUGCAAUUUGAAUAUUACUUGAUGCAGCUUUCUUCUUUUGAGUGUGAUGUGAAACAAACGGUUAGUUGAAUUGUUAUUUAGUUCUAAUAAGUUUUGUCACCGAGACCUAUAUCUUAAAAACCCUUAUUGAAUUAGUUAUUACAUCUUAUCUAUGUAACACAAAAACUUCAAUUCCCUAACGUUUCCGCGUUUCGGACACGUUUCAUGUCGGACACUCGGACACUUGUCGGGCACCUUAUGGGCCAUUUUGCAAUUUAUAGAAAGUUAGAAACAUGUUUGAAUAGCAAAUUUUAAAAUAUUUUUGUUGCUUCCCUAAUUAUUUACACGGUUUAAUGAUCAAUUGCAGUUGAUAGGUCGGCACGUAUUCGUGGGGUUCGGCCUGUUUGGCCAAUUUAUACAAGGAGCUGGGUAUAUGCAGUCAAUGAGCUUGGCGGGUUGCACCACCCUUCUUCAGGUAAAUUAAUAUAUUUUUUGUACUUAUUUUUUUCAUAAUGUUUUUAAAUUAAUGUAUUUUAUAUUGUUUAUUAUUGUUAGGAACUAUUUAAUUUACUAAUUUAUUUUUAUUAUUAUUAGGAACUAAUUAUUUUACUAAUUUUUUUUAUUAUUAUUACGAGCUAAUUAAUUUACUAGUUUGUUUUGUAUUUUAAUUUACUAAUUUUAAUGAUUUUCUUAAGUAUUAGACGUGACUUAUUUCAUGAAUUUAGAAACUGCGUACAAGUGUAGUAAUUAAAGUGCACAUUUAAACAUUCCAAAGCAUAGCUUAAACAUUAAAAUAAAAAACAAACAACAUUAUAAAUUUAAUCAUUCCAAAAGUAUAAGUUAAACAUUAAAAUACCAAACGUUACAAAUUUAAGUAUUCUAAAACGUAAGUUAUACAUUAAAAUGCAAAAUAAAAAAAAUACAAAUUUAAACAUAAGUUAAACAUUCAAAUACGGCAGAUGGUUAUGAUUACCAUUACUCACACUCAAUCACCAUAAUCCAUUAUCCGUUGAUUUUGUGCCAAUUAACAUGAACGGACAAGAAUGUUUCUUCAAUAGUCCGCGUCGUCCAGAGUAAUAUCUUGCACACGUUAAAACAUGAGUUUUUUUUAUUAUGUUUUACAAUGAUUAAUCAGUUGAUGAUUAUGACUAAUUGUUGUGUCUUUUGCCAUCAUAAUUAACGGUCUCUACUAUCAAACUCAAUUCCACGUUCAAAGAAGUAGCUAUGAUCGUGAGAUUGUUCUCUUAAUUGAAUUGUUAUUUAGUUCUAAUAAAUUGUGUCACCGAGACCUAUAUCUUAAAAACCCUUAUUUUAUGUCUUAUUGAAUUAGUUAUUACUUCUUAUCUAUGUAACACAAAAACUUCAAUUCCCUAACGUUUCCGCGUUUCGGACACAUUUCAUGUCGGACACUCAGACACUUGUCGGGCACCUUAUGGGCCAUUUUGCAAUUUAUAGAAAGUUAGAAACAUGUUUGAAUAGCAAAUUUGAAAAUAUUUUUGUUGCUUCCCUAAUUAUUUACACGGUCUAAUGAUCAAUUGCAGUUGAUAGGUCGGCACGUAUUCGUGGGGUUCGGCCUGUUUGGCCUAUUUAUACAGGGAGCUGGGUAUAUGUUGCUGAGGAGCUUGGCGGGUUGCACCACCCUUGUUUAGGUAAAUUAAUAUAGUUUUUGUACUUAUUUUUUUCAUAAUGGUUUUAAAUUAAUGUAUUUUCUAUUGUUUAUUUAACUAAAUAUCUUUAAAUACAAUAUUGCAGUGCUAGAUAUACGAGUACUUCCCGAGAUUCCAGCCACUGGAGGAGAGCGAGCGGUACAGCGACUUUCAACCUCGAUGCAAGAGGUGGAAGGCGCCGCCAAAAGCAGGCACGGUCGAGCAUGUUUGAGAUUUACUCGACAAUAUGAUGGCGGAUGAUGUAAGUUUUUUAUGCAUUUAUGUUUUUUGAUUUAUGUAUUUAUCUAUUUUUUAAAUAUGAUUUUUUUUUUAUUUAUGUACUUAUAUAUCUUUUAAAUAUAAAUUAUUCGAUUUAUGUAUGUAUAUUUUUUUUAAAAUAUGAAUUUUUCGAUUUAUGUAUUUAUAUUUUUUCUUAAUAUGAAUCUUUCGAUUUAUGUAUUUAUAUUUUUUUAACAUAUGAAUUUUUACAAAUGUAUUUAUAUUUCUUUUAUGUUUAGGUCGAGUGGCUACCGUAUGGUCGGGAUAUGCACAAGAGUAUCCCUCUCUUACGUUGUAUCAUGGCACGAUCCAGUACAUGUGGGUCGUAGGGUCGUAUAUGCCUAAUCGUUGCGUCCGACACUUCGGGUGGGUUCAGGAUAUUCCGUGCGGCUUGAUUCUAUCGAGGAAGCCAUGUUUACGCGGUCUGAAAGGAGGUGCAACGUACAAAGUCAACUACCCAUUUUCGGGUGGUAUGUGGGACAUGGUCCAGGCUCAUUCCAUUCAUCCCAAUGUAUACAAAACGGCACGACAACGAGGGGAAGUCGACGAGCACUGCAUGGAUUGGUACACCGAUCGGACUCAUCUGAAGAUCACCAAGCCCGACGUCGGUCCGGCUGAACUGCAUCAAGAGAAUGUGAGGCCACCAGAUCAACCAACUUAUUAUCAGAUAGUACCUGCAUUGUACCCGAUCAAUAUGAGCACUGGACAGGACUGGAUGCAACAGCUUGUCGAUUUACGUGCCGACCUUGGAGAUAUUAUGCAGCCCGCCGCCCGAUAUAUUGGCAUCAACCAAGACGACGACGACGACGAUGAUCAUCGUGAUGAGGUGCAACCGCCGAGGAGAGCGAGGUGGUAGUUUAUAGAUUUUUUUUGCCUGUUAUGUAUUUUUAUGAACUAUUUAAUUUAAAAGUUUUUUUUAAUUAUUAUUAUGAACUAUCCAAUUUGCUUGAUAUUUUUAUUAUUGUUAGGAACUAUUUAAUUUACUAAUUUAUUUUUAUUAUUAUUAGGAACUAAUUAUUUUACUAAUUUUGUUUAUUAUUAUUACGAACUAUUUAAUUUACUAGUUUGUUUUGUAUUUUAAUUUACGAAUUUCAAUGAUUUUCUUAAGUAUUAGAUGUGACUUAUUUCAUGAAUUUAGAAACUGCGUACAAGUGUAGCAAUUAAAGUACAUAUUUAAACAUUCCAAAACAUAGCUUAAACAUUAAGGGGGUCAUGUGCAAAAUGUCCAAACCACAAGGGGUUAAGUGCUAUUUACCCAAUAAAAAACAAAUAACAUUACAAAUUUAAUCAUUCCAAAAAUAAAAGUUAAACAUUAAAAUACCAAACGUAAGUUAAACAUUAAAAUACCAAACAUUACAAAUUUAAAUAUUCUAAAACGCAAGUUAUACAUUAAAAUGCAAAAUAAAAAAAAAAUACAAAUUUAAACAUAAGUUAAACUUUCAAAUACGGCAGAUGGUUAUGAUUACCAUUACUCACACUCAAUCGCCAUAAUCCAUUAUUCGUUGAUUUUGUGCCAAUUAACAUGAACGGACAAGAACGUUCCUUCAAUAUCCGCGUCGUCCAGAUUAAUAUCUUGCAAACGUUAAAACAUGAGUUUUUUUUUAUGUUUUACAAUGAUUAAUCAGUUGAUGAUUAUAACUAAUUGUUGUGUCUUUUGCCCACAUAAUUAACGGUCUCUACUAUCAAACACAAUUCCACGUUCAAAGAAGUAGCUACGUGAGAUUGUUCUCUUAGUUUCUGCAUAAAGAUUUUAAAAAGAUAUUUAAGGGAUUUCGUAUGACAUUACACGAAAUUGAAGGUACAAUUUCGUGUAAAAUCUUACGAAAUAGUAUCUUUAAUUUUGUAGGUUUUAGCACGAAAUUAUCUUCAAACGUACGAAACAAAGAACAAAAUGAUAUUAAGACAUAUUUCGUGUUGUAGUACACGAAAUGAAAGAGUUUAUUUAUGCUUCAAGUUGCAAUGUUCAACAUAAUAUAUACAUUACUGUGCAUUACUAUAUAUUAUUAUACAUGACUAGUUACUUAUAGUAACAUGUAGUUACAUAUUCAUAUAUUUGUGUAUUAUCGAUUUGUAUUUUAUUGGUUUUGAGGUGAUUUAUAAUUUAAAUAUUGAAAUUUGUAAAUUUUUGUUGUUGGGGUUUAUGAAUUUCUUUUGUAUAAGCCAGUAUUCGUGUGUAUACAUAAUUGAUCGACUAAAUACAUGGGGUAAAAAGAAAAAAAAACAUAACUACGACUUACUAUAGCUUAGAACCGGUUCAUGUAGUUAUUAUUGGUACAGUAAACAUAUUGAUUUUAUAAAAAAAAAAUUAUACAAAAAAAUAACUUUUUAUUUUAAAAAAAUUAAAAAAAGAAAUUAAAUAUUCAUAAAGAUACAUAUAAAUUAAAAAAACGGGGUUAUAAUAAAAAUAAAAAUAAAAAAAAAUAAAAAAUAAAAAAAAGAGAAAAAAUAAUAAGCGAAAAUAUUAAAUGCAGGACCAGAAAUGCUGAAUGCAGUUUGGCUGAAAAUUGCACAUAAGGGUAGUAUAGUACUUUCGCUUCUCCAGGGGGUAUGUCAGAGGAUUAUUUCUGUUUGGGUUUAUCCCUAGUUUAUUUGGUAGCUGGGGUAUGUAAAAUAAGCUCUUUUUGGAUAUGCCGUUUGCCCGUGUCACUUUUCCCGUUACUCCAUAUUACCGUGUCCGUGCUACAUAACUUCUUGAAUAAAUACUUAAACUAAUAACCAAAGAAAAAAAAAAAAGAUAAAGAGGGAGAAUGCUUUGAAGUUUGAACGCCCAAGUUGGGCGUGUAAGACACUAUCUCACGCCCAAGUCCAAUGCACGUCGGUUCUGAUAUGAAAUGUUCCGAUUUUGGAACAUCUUUUUUUAUUCCGACUUCUGUAAUUUCGAUUUUCAAAAAAUUUCGGUAUUUUUGGAUUGGAAUUCGAAUUAUAUAAAAUAAAGUUGCAAUUUCUGAUUUCCGAUCUGAUUUACUUUCCGAAAUUAAAUCAGAAAUUUCCAAAUUUUUUUCCGAAAAAUACACCUAAAAAUAAUAAAUAUUAUAUAAUACUUAUUUUUCCUAAAACCAUUUAUUUAAUUUAGGGGGCAAAGUGCCAAAGAAAAUAUAAUUGGAGGGUGCAUUCUGCCAUUUAUUGAAUUGAGGGGGUGCGAAGUGCGAAACCACAUAAUUCGAGGGUGCGGUGCAAAGUGUAAUUACCCAAAACUAUAGCAGUCCAAUUAAAAUCGCUGAACCCAAAAAAAAGAGAAAACAAAUAUUCUUAUUAAUAAAUCAUUAAUUAAUAAUCCCACAUCGGUAAAGUAAACAAAUAUUACUUAAUUAAUAAACCAUUUUUUGAGCAAGUUAGAAUUGCCGGGCUCAGUGGCGUGAGCCUGUAACUUAAGCAGGGGCAUUAAGGCUGUGGUAGCGGAAGGCCACUAUUGGAGGUAGCGUUGGGUGUUUCGUAGCUCAAUUACUAAGGAGCCUUAUACUAAUCUUCAACCAAACCUCGACCAUUUGUAAAUAAUUUAUUACUUUUUAUAGCUGAUAACUGACCGUUUUACUGUGACUCUGUGAGUGUCUACGGAUGGGUGGUGGUCAGAGUUUUAAAACUGUGUUACUACAAAUGACUACGGGGAAUACAUGACUAUGGUCGAAAUCAAUUAAAAAUAUGUUUAUGCUCUUCAUAAUAGUGAAA